GACGAACGCUGGCGGCGUGCUUAACACAUGCAAGUCGAACGGAAAGGCCCUGCUUUUGUGGGGUGCUCGAGUGGCGAACGGGUGAGUAACACGUGAGUAACCUGCCCUUGACUUUGGGAUAACUUCAGGAAACUGGGGCUAAUACCGGAUAGGAGCUCCUGCUGCAUGGUGGGGGUUGGAAAGUUUCGGCGGUUGGGGAUGGACUCGCGGCUUAUCAGCUUGUUGGUGGGGUAGUGGCUUACCAAGGCUUUGACGGGUAGCCGGCCUGAGAGGGUGACCGGCCACAUUGGGACUGAGAUACGGCCCAGACUCCUACGGGAGGCAGCAGUGGGGAAUAUUGCACAAUGGGCGGAAGCCUGAUGCAGCAACGCCGCGUGCGGGAUGACGGCCUUCGGGCUGUAAACCGCUUUCGCCUGUGACGAAGCGUGAGUGACGGUAAUGGGUAAAGAAGCACCGGCUAACUACGUGCCAGCAGCCGCGGUGAUACGUAGGGUGCGAGCGUUGUCCGGAUUUAUUGGGCGUAAAGGGCUCGUAGGUGGUUGAUCGCGUCGGAAGUGUAAUCUUGGGGCUUAACCCUGAGCGUGCUUUCGGUACGGGUUGACUUGAGGAAGGUAGGGGAGAAUGGAAUUCCUGGUGGAGCGGUGGAAUGCGCAGAUAUCAGGAGGAACACCAGUGGCGAAGGGCGGUUCUCUGGGCCUUUCCUGACGCUGAGGAGCGAAAGCGUGGGGAGCGAACAGGCUUAGAUACCCUGGUAGUCCACGCUGUAAACGGUGGGUACUAGGUGUGGGGUCCAUUCCACGGGUUCCGUGCCGUAGCUAACGCUUUAAGUACCCCGCCUGGGGAGUACGGCCGCAAGGCUAAAACUCAAAGGAAUUGACGGGGCCCCGCACAAGCGGCGGAGCAUGCGGAUUAAUUCGAUGCAACGCGUAGAACCUUACCUGGGUUUGACAUGGAUCGGGAGCGCUCAGAGAUGGGUGUGCCUCUUUUGGGGUCGGUUCACAGGUGGUGCAUGGCUGUCGUCAGCUCGUGUCGUGAGAUGUUGGGUUAAGUCCCGCAACGAGCGCAACCCUUGUUCACUGUUGCCAGCACGUUAUGGUGGGGACUCAGUGGAGACCGCCGGGGUCAACUCGGAGGAAGGUGGGGAUGACGUCAAGUCAUCAUGCCCCUUAUGUCCAGGGCUUCACGCAUGCUACAAUGGCUGGUACAGAGAGUGGCGAGCCUGUGAGGGUGAGCGAAUCUCGGAAAGCCGGUCUCAGUUCGGAUUGGGGUCUGCAACUCGACCUCAUGAAGUCGGAGUCGCUAGUAAUCGCAGAUCAGCAACGCUGCGGUGAAUACGUUCCCGGGGCU
rnacentral:rRNA from 1 species